ACAAAUCAUUUUCUUCCUCCCUCCCUACCCGAUCCAUUUUCCUUUCUCCCUCUCUCUCUCGCAUGCUCUCUGCUAGCCCGAACGGCUGCCCUCCGAUGGUCGCCGCCGUGUAGACACCGGAUCAAGAGUACCAGCCACCGCCGAAACUCCAGCCUCGCGAGCCCUUCGUUGCCGUUCUCCGCCGCGAGCAGAAGCCUCCAGGCUCGUACGUCGCCGCCGUGGCUUCAAGGCCAAUUUCUGGCUUCCUCUGUCAUCGUCUCAGGCGAAGGGUAGCAUGGGUGAACUCAGGGUAUCAAGACGAACAAAUCCCAGCCAAGGAUGGGGCUUUUAAGUGACCGGAGGAGACGGAAUCAACUCUCCAUUUGCUGCUCGUAGUCUUCUUCUCGAGCCUACUCAGAUGGACAUUGUGGUUCACCUUCACCACCGCCAGUGUAUGAAGAUCGAUUGUUUUCUUCAGAGGCUUAUGUUCCUGAAUUUAAGCAGGGCAAGAAAGCUGUGUCAGUGCCAUUUCCUGGUCUAUCAGAAUAUUUGAGACCUGAAACUCCAGAAGAGGGUGGUGAUUUAUCGCUUGUUUGGAUAUUCAGAUGGAUGUAAAGAAUCAAUAUUAUGCAACUAUAUGGGUGCUCAAGAUAUGCAUUUUCGAGAAAAUGAGCAAAAACUUGCAAAAAAAAUGAGGGAGGAGUUAUAGAUAGAAGCCAAGACAUUGCUCUUUUGCAAGAUUUCUACAAACUCUAUCGAGAGCAGAAUGACGUGGAAAUGUUACGAGAAGAAGAGUUGAAUUUAAGGGAGACUGGGGCUUUCAGUGGAGACUUGGGCGAAUGAAGUCCAUGGCUGGCACCCAAGCUUAGCCUUGGCCCCAAAAGUUGAAGAAGAAAGCUUAGAACUUUUUGUUCAUUUCAAUACCCUCCUGCAAUAUAUAUUUGGAGCAUAGGAUGUAUUUGCUGAAAUGCUUACAGGAAAACCACUGUUUCGUUGGGAAAAUGUGAUACACUAAUUGGAUCUCAUGACUGAUUUGCUUGGCACACCACCCUCCCCAGCCGAAUCCACUGGAAGGUUAUUGCAUGGGAAGAAAAGUAAAGCACGAGAUCCCUGAAGAUUGGGUCUGUGAAUCAUGCCAAAGUGUCAGUGACUCAGUUUUGAUGGAAUCUGGGAAGAGAGAUGAAGCUGUCACAAUAGCAAUGAGCAAGGGGCAAUUGUCAAUUUCACAGCUUCAUUCCAAGAAAAAGCCAGUAGAAACUGAUAAAGUUAAGUUCAUUCCUCAUGAAGAAAUACUUGAAAGAAAUCCUUAAUAAUAAUAAAAAAUUGUGAUGCUGUGAAAUCAUUCCUUGCUUGAAAAGAAAAAUGCUCAGGCAUUUUUUUUUUGGUGUAGCACUCCUUGCUUUAAGGAAUACUCAAUGCUUCUUUGUGACUGGCACUUGUGGUUGUAGUUUUGAUAGUUUUUCAUGAGGGCCUUUGUGCUGUCUUUGUUGGUCUCUGUUUGUAGUUUUAUGUCUUAUAUGUACUAUCUUUGUCUGAGGCUGUCUAGACUGUAAUACAGUCCAGGUGAUUUCUUAUCAUUUUUUUUAAUACAAUCUUGUAUGGUUGGGAUUGAAA